AGAGUUUGAUCCUGGCUCAGAUUGAACGCUGGCGGCACGCUUAACACAUGCAAGUCGAGCGGUAACAGGUAAAUUGAAGCUUCGGUGGACGUUUAUGCUGACGAGCGGCGGACGGGUGAGUAAUGCAUGGGAAUCUGCCUCUAGGCGGGGGACAACUCGGGGAAACUCGAGCUAAUACCGCAUAAUGUCUACGGACUAAAGCUAGGGACCUUCGGGCCUGGCUCCUAGAGAUGAGCCCAUGUUGGAUUAGCUUGUUGGUGAGGUAAAGGCUCACCAAGGCGACGAUCCAUAGCUGGUUUGAGAGGAUGAUCAGCCACACUGGGACUGAGACACGGCCCAGACUCCUACGGGAGGCAGCAGUGGGGAAUAUUGGACAAUGGGGGCAACCCUGAUCCAGCGAUGCCGCGUGUGUGAAGAAGGCCUGAGGGUUGUAAAGCACUUUCAGUAGGGAGGAAGACUUGUCGGUUAAGAGCUAAUAAGUUUGACGUUACCUACAGAAGAAGCACCGGCUAACUCCGUGCCAGCAGCCGCGGUAAUACGGAGGGUGCA
rnacentral:rRNA from 1 species